GACAGACAAGGCCAUGACUAACCUGGCCCUCGUGCGCCUAGACAAGGGAGACAAUCUGGAGGCGGAAAGGUUGCUGGAAGGAGCUGUCAGUCUCAGUACCGAGACACAGGCCGCCAUGAAGAGGCGAUGAGGGCGUGGCAGAAUGCAACCACAUCCAACCCC